UGAGGGUAAUCCAGAGGCAUGAAAGCUGAUUGGUUAUGUGAAUGAACAACAGGAGGAGAAGAGACAGAAUCUUCUUGAACCUGUUUGGUUGUUGAUGAUGAAGAAGAAGAAGAGUGGGAAGAGGUGAACUUGGGAGCUCUUUUAGCGUCUUCUUGGACUAAGUAACGGUUAACUGUUCUUUGCCACACUGCUCUUGCUUCUCCUCCUGCCAUCAUUUCAUUUCACACCAUAGAGCUCUGAUAUUUUAAGACAAAAGAGAUUUGAUUAUACAUAAAAACCAAACAGUUGAAGAUCAAUGCAACCACUUGAUUCCCAUUAUGGAAGAAAAUGAAUCAUUUAUUUCAAAGUUGGAAUCUUUAUGAGAUGGGUGGGCACAUAUAAGACACAGAUCCAUCACCAAAAAGCUUUACAGAAAACACCUUUGAACAAUAGAAUCUGACGGUUUGCUUUAAAGGAAGUUUGUCCUAAUCUUCUAACAAAACAUAUGCAGAUUCUUGUCUAUAUUAUUAAGCAAACUAUUUUUUUUUACUUAACAACCAAACAAUCCUUCUUUGCAAUUUAGAAUCAAAUCUCCAAAACAAUUAACUAAACCCAUAAGAAGAGCGUUUCAUCUUCUGCGGUGUUGGUAAGUCGCAAUUCUCAACGAAGAAGUCUAGAGACCUUUGUGCAACCAAGGAAGCUAACUCAUCUUUGUCUGUAGUUCUCCACCAGGGUCCAGCUUUCUCGCUCGAGAGAGGAUUCCAUGGAGAGCUCGGAUCGAAAGGUAUCUCAGAGGAUUCAUCUUUGCCAAAAGAACCAUAACUCUCUCUAGUCUCCUUUGCUCCCAGCUCAGGUUUCUUCUCAGAGAUAUUAACCUCAGCUUCCAAUGGCGUCUUCACGUGAAGGUGAUGGGGAUGAUGAUCCAACAACUGAGGGUAAUCCAGAGGCAUGAAAGCUGAUUGGUUAUGUGAAUGAACAACAGGAGGAGAAGAGACAGAAUCUUCUUGAACCUGUUUGGUUGUUGAUGAUGAAGAAGAAGAAGAGUGGGAAGAGGUGAACUUGGGAGCUCUUUUAGCGUCUUCUUGGACUAAGUAACGGUUAACUGUUCUUUGCCACACUGCUCUUGCUUCUCCUCCUGCCAUCAUUUCAUUUCACACCAUAGAGCUCUGAUA
rnacentral:lncRNA from 1 species